AUACAAAUAAGUAUGUUGCGUUCAGAAAUGUUGAGGUGCUGCAUGUAUACAGUACACUCAUGGGUCACUUUAUUAGGCCUAUCUAACUGUUGUUGCUGACCCUUUAUGAUCCAGCAGGAUAACGCACCAUGUCACUAUGCUCAGAUCAUCUCACUGUUUUUUUUAACAUGACAGUGAGCCCAUUGUACUCAAAUAGCUUCCAUAGUCACCAGAUCUGAAACCAAUAGAGCACCCUUCGGAUGUGGUAGAAUGGGAGAUUCACAUCAUAGUUGUGCAGCUAACGAAUCUGCAGCAACUGUGUGAUGCUGUCAAAUCUCUGAGGAAUGUCUCCAGCACCUUUUUGAAUCUAUAUCACAAAGAAUUGAAGAAGGUCUGAAGGCAAAAAGGGGGCUGACCCUGAAAGGUGUAACUGAUGAAGUGGCUGCUGGGUGUAGAUAUUAAAAUGCCCUUUCCUUUGUCUUUAUUGGUUUCAGUAUUUGAUAUAUUGUGUUCUAAUGCCAAUUAAAUAACGUUUAAGUUAUUUGCAAAUCACUGGUCUUGUUUGUUUGGGUUUUUUUUUUUAAAUUUUUUAAAUUCUUUUGCAUUUUACAUCCCUUCCCAGGCUGUGUAAACAUGGUUGUACCUAGCUCAUCUGACUCAAGCAUACAUUUGUUUAAUCUUCAAAGGUGAUAGUGCGGGUGGCAGACAGGUGUACAAGUGCUUGGAAAAGGCAGACUGCGUUUCUGGCCAAUGGGCAUGUUUGCAGAUAUGGCUUGGGUAUGCAAAUACUCUGACUUCUAUUUUAAUAGAUAAAUGAAAACUUUUACUUUGGGAAGUCUAGUUUGCAUUUUUCACGCUCUGUUUUGUCUGUGUCCCAGCAAAGAAGAGCAGUGCUUUCCUUUGCAUCACAAUUCAAACUAGGAUUCUUCGGCGAUGGCUUCAGAAAAAAAAUGUCUGCCAGAGCAGCCUUCUCACAAAUAGAGAUGCACACGCGCGCUCCUUAAUAACACCACCUGCGGUCAGCACAUCUUUUGAUUCUGAGCCCGAUUUUCUCUUCUCACCCCAUAAUCUCAUCUUUGUCCCACAAUGCUCUUCCUGCCUCUUCACCUCAUCCUGUUUCCUUUAAGCCGAGAACAUCUCAGACUUGCUUUGAAAUCAGGAAAUGAAAGAAAGUCUCAGUAUUUGGCAGAGUGAGGAACCAUUCUUCCAUAAACACUGUAUGAUAAAGGUUACAGAGUCACAG
ensembl:lncRNA